rnacentral:rRNA from 1 species
AUUGAACGCUGGCGGCAGGCCUAACACAUGCAAGUCGAACGGUAACAGGAAGCAGCUUGCUGCUUUGCUGACGAGUGUCGGACGGGUGAGUAAUGUCUGGGAAACUGCCUGAUGGAGGGGGAUAACUACUGGAAACGGUAGCUAAUACCGCAUAACUUCGCAAGACCAAAGAGGGGGACCUUCGUGCCUCUUGCCAUCGGAUGUGCCCAGAUGGGAUUAGCUAGUAGGUGGGGUAACGGCUCACCUAGGCGACGAUCCCUAGCUGGUCUGAGAGGAUGACCAGCCACACUGGAACUGAGACACGGUCCAGACUCCUACGGGAGGCAGCAGUGGGGAAUAUUGCACAAUGGGCGCAAGCCUGAUGCAGCCAUGCCGCGUGUAUGAAGAAGGCCUUCGGGUUGUAAAGUACUUUCAGCGGGGAGGAAGGGAGUAAAGUUAAUACCUUUGCUCAUUGACGUUACCCGCAGAAGAAGCACCGGCUAACUCCGUG